rnacentral:rRNA from 1 species
GGCAAGACGGAAAGACCCCGUGAACCUUUACUAUAGCUUGACACUGAACAUUGAGCCUUGAUGUGUAGGAUAGGUGGGAGGCUUGGAAGUGUGGACGCCAGUCUGCAUGGAGCCGACCUUGAAAUACCACCCUUUAAUGUUUGAUGUUCUAACGUUGACCCGUAAUCCGGGUUGCGGACAGUGUCUGGUGGGUAGUUUGACUGGGGCGGUCUCCUCCUAAAGAGUAACGGAGGAGCACGAAGGUUGGCUAAUCCUGGUCGGACAUCAGGAGGUUAGUGCAAUGGCAUAAGCCAGCUUGACUGCGAGCGUGACGGCGCGAGCAGGUGCGAAAGCAGGUCAUAGUGAUCCGGUGGUUCUGAAUGGAAGGGCCAUCGCUCAACGGAUAAAAGGUACUCCGGGGAUAACAGGCUGAUACCGCCCAAGAGUUCAUAUCGACGGCGGUGUUUGGCACCUCGAUGUCGGCUCAUCACAUCCUGGGGCUGAAGUAGGUCCCAAGGGUAUGGCUGUUCGCCAUUUAAAGUGGUACGCGAGCUGGGUUUAGAACGUCGUGAGACAGUUCGGUCCCUA